AGUGAACGCUGGCGGUAGGCCUAACACAUGCAAGUCGAACGGCAGCACAGUAAGAGCUUGCUCUUACGGGUGGCGAGUGGCGGACGGGUGAGGAAUACAUCGGAAUCUACUUUUUCGUGGGGGAUAACGUAGGGAAACUUACGCUAAUACCGCAUACGACCUACGGGUGAAAGCAGGGGAUCUUCGGACCUUGCGCGAUUGAAUGAGCCGAUGUCGGAUUAGCUAGUUGGCGGGGUAAAGGCCCACCAAGGCGACGAUCCGUAGCUGGUCUGAGAGGAUGAUCAGCCACACUGGAACUGAGAAACGGCCAAGACUCCUACGGGAGGCAGCAGUGGGGAAUAUUGGACAAGGGGCGCAAGCCUGAUCAAGCCAUACCGCGUGGGUGAAGAAGGCCUUCGGGUUGUAAAGCCCUUUUGUUGGGAAAGAAAAGCAGAAGGUUAAUACCCCGCUGUUCUGACGGUACCCAAAGAAUAAGCACCGGCUAACUUCGUG
rnacentral:rRNA from 1 species